ACUUAAUCAUGAGUAAUUCUUUGAUUAAUUAGAAGUUCCUUACUUUUAAUUAAGUAUUAUGUUGUGUUUGCAUAUUGUUCGGGAAACUGAACAUAACUUCCUGUAUAUUUCGCCCUAAACUUGGGGUAAUAACACCGUACUUUACAAGUGCGGUGUUUUUUUAU
rnacentral:other from 1 species